UACGUAGGGCGCAAGCGUUGUCCGGAAUCAUUGGGCGUAAAGAGCUCGUAGGCGGCCUGUUGCGUCCGCUGUGAAAACCCAGGGCUUAACCCUGGGCUGGCAGUGGAUACGGGCAGACUAGAGGUAGGUAGGGGAGAAUGGAAUUCCCGGUGUAGCGGUGAAAUGCGCAGAUAUCGGGAGGAACACCGGUGGCGAAGGCGGCUCUCUGGGACGGUACUGACGCUGAGACGCGAAAGCGUGGGGAGCGAACAGG
rnacentral:rRNA from 1 species